AGGAAUAAACAUUAUUAGAAAAAUAAAAUAAUUUAAAUUAAAUACAUUUUUUUUGUUGUUGAAUGAAAUAGGUCAGACAUAGAAACGUUGACAACCCUAAAUGAGAUUGAGUAAGUGUCAAAUCGCUCAUACUAACAUAUACAUAUAUAUAUAUAUACUUUAUAUGAGCAAGGCUCGUAUUGAGUAGCAGCAUUGUUUGUUUGUGUGUAUUCUGUACUUGCAGUUCAUUCGAAGUGUUAACCAUAGUGUGCGUUUACUUUUUUUUUAUUAUUACUUAUAAGUAAAAAAAAAUUCUUAAUCGUGAAGUUUUUAAAAACAAGGUUUUUAAAACUAAUUGUUGCUAAGAUUUGUUAUAAAAUGAUAGUAAAAUACGAGUACAAUCCUUAUUUCUUUACUAAUAUUAUAAAUGUGAAAAUCAUAAACGCUGAUUGAGGGCACGGUUGACUCCUGAGCGACCUGCGGCGCCUGCUGACUUCGGGGGACCAAGAGGCUUAUUAAUUCAUAAUUAUUCAAGUUUUGGUUGUGUAUCGUCUUAUGAAAAUAUCGCAAUUUAUUACAAUACAAUUAAUAUUUCGAGUAGAAAAAAUAUGAUGAAAAUUCUUUAUGAUUUUAAAUUUCGAAGUUCGAAUUUUAAAUUAAAACUAAUCUUAUAUUUGUAUUGUCAGGAGAAAAGUAAGUUAUAUUUUACAAAAUAAUAUAUUAUUAAUUUCAAUAACAUUCCAUAUUUGAAAUAUUUUAAAUACAUAAUUUUAAAAAAUAAUAAUUAAAAUGCAUUCGGGAAUGUCGGCUGUUAUUGUUCUCAAUGAAUAUUAUAUUUUAAACUUAUCGUUAUUGUAUGGCAACUAUUAGACUAUUAUUUUACUUAAAUAAGAUAAUUUGAGAACUGUAUUAGACAUCUUUAUUCUUCACUAUUUAUGUUGUCCACAGAAUAUAAAAAAAAAAAAUAUUAAGUACUAUAUAUUUGUAUACGUAAUAAACACUUGGACACCAUUAUUAUAUUAAAUAUCUUGGGGAUAAUGUUAAGAAAGUGGAUGAAUAAUUUUGCAUAAACAUAUAUUAUAUGAGCGCAGUAAGUUGUAGCUAGUAAUUAUUAUUAAGUACCAUUCUAUGUCUAUGGUUACAGACCACAGACCACAAUCCAAUGAUAUAUCAAGUAGCAACUUUUAGAUUUUUCUUGCAACAUAACGUGUUUUAUUCUUACUUACAAUAAAAAAAAAAACAAUAUUCAAAAACAAAUAUUCCUGACUUUGAAUGAUUGGAUUUAAACAGUAAAUUAUCCCACAGGAAUUUAUUAUUGGAAUGAAAAGUGUCCAUUAAUAUAUAUACUUAAUUUAGUGUACAUUUGUUCUAAGUAAGUUUUUUUUAAUGUAUUUUUUCUUAAGUAUAUAAAUAUUUAUUUAUUUAUUAAUAAAUUUUUAAAACAUUAUCUAUUUUAAUUAUAUAUAUCUCCUAAAACUAAAUUAAAAUAUUUAUAAUCUUAUAAAUUUACGUCGUUUGUAAGUAGUAAAUGUAAUAAUAUACACAUUUUAUACAAAUGCAUGGGUUAUUAUAUUUAUAUAUAUAUAUAAAUAUUUAUUAUUAGUUUAUUGAUAACAAGCGCACUAUGUAUACUUAACUGCUCGUAUUUAUAUUUCCUAAUAUUGAUAUAUAUUUCUGUAUAUAUAUUAUCUUAAGGGUAAAAUAUUUAUUUAUGAUAUUUAUAAUACAAAUAAUAAUUAUGGGCGAUAUAUUUAAAUGAAAAUGAAAUAUUUUUUAAUAGGUAGUGUAUGACUCUUAAGAGAAAAAAAAAAUUAUACUCAGUUAAAAAUGUAAUUAUUUGUAACAAUACGAUAUUUUAUUUACACAUUUUACCAAAAGAAGUAUUUUAGAAUAGAAAUUGGAUUAGGUAGUUAAUUAUUUGGAAGAAGAUUUUUAAAGAAAGAAUGUUAACAUAUCAUUGUUACGGUAGCUAGAUGUUAAAUUAAUUCAUUAAAUUAUAAUUUCAUAUAAUUUUAUUAAGUAUAGCUACUGGAAUGGAAAUUUUUUCAUUAAAUUAAAUGCAAUAUUUUAAUUAAAUGUAAUCACAUUUAAUUGAAUGUUUUUACAUUUAAUUAAAGUUAAUUUAAAAUUUAUUGCUACAAUUUAAUUAAAUUACAAAUAUAAGAUUUUAAUAUAAAUUUUAUCUUUGGUUACCUAUUAUUUCAUUAUACGAGACUAGAUUAGGAGAAAUCAUGUCUAUAUUACUUUUUGAUGCUGGUAAUGCAAGAGAGCACAUCUUUCUCUAUCCUUAAGAAUUUUUUGGAUCUUUGUUCAAGAUUAUAUCUAUUCAUCGUUAUUUUAGGAGUGCAUCAUCCACGAUACAUUAGUAAAACUCUAAUAAAUAUUGUCCAGCCAUUUACAUCCAUUAUCUUCUUGCGAUACAUUUAAUAUCUGCCUCUCCAAUUUAGUAGUGGAAGGUCGCCGUUUAUAGCCGUUUGCGUUACAUAGACGCGACCCGAGACUCCCACAGGUUAAUUUAGAAUCUUUCUAUAAGUACGAAUGCAUUAGGUAAUGUUAGUUAAAAACAGAUAUUUUUUGACACUUUUAAGUUAUUUAAAAGCCAAAUCGUCCUGAUUCGCGAAGGCUAACCUGGAGUAUAGAAAAGUCCAAAUGGUUCCUUAUAAGAGCUUCUCCGUCUAUUCACGUCGAUAGCUUGACUUCCUUGACCAUUUUGCCCAAUAACUGCCUUCAGCAUUAACCUUGAUAUUAUCGACAUGAAACUGCAAACCGCAAAAUACUAUUAAUAUCGGUAUAAAAUAACAGAAUACUAGUAGCAUUCUGUGAUAUUAAUAGUAUUCUGUGAUACUAGUAAUAUUCUAUGAUAUUAGUACUAUUCUGAGGUAAUACAAAAUGGCGCUAGGCAUAUCUCAGAAUUGUGAUUUUCUUUCAUAAUUUGUAAAAGUGGUUACUCUACGAGUAUAGUUGUUUAUAGAAUAAAAAGAUAAAUGGAUAACUUUAUAUUAUUAACUGUAGAAUAAUUGUUGUUUCCAUAUAUUAUUAUUAUCAAUCUUUUAGCAAUACGAUUUAAGAGGCCGUUCUUGCUGAAAUAAGUUUAAAAAAAUGUUGGUUUUACAUUAUUUUUAUUUCUAUAGUUAUGACAAUAUCUCAGAUAUUUUUGUAUAUACAGAGUGUACUCGUAAUCAUUAGCAUCUUUUUGGGUGAAAUUGAACGUUUUUCUAUUUUAAUAGAAAAUAUGGAUCGAAAAAUGACAAAAUAUAUUGAAAAUAAAUAUAUACGCUAACACGGUCCAAGAUAUACGUGGUUUAAAUGGAGCGUCAAGUUAGUGUAGAAGGCACAAAAUGAUUUUAGGUUUGCGGAUCAUGUUUCUUUGUGGAAAAUGUUUAGUUUCACUUGAAGAACAAUCUAAAAGGAUGUUGGUGAUUGAGAAUUCGCUCUGUUUACUGAUUUUUUUAUGUUAUGUGUUUUGAACAGUCUGUAUAAUUAUUACAGGUUGUGACGUAAUGGAUACCAUAACUGAAACUCAAUGAUUUUCAAUCGACUUCAACAAGAAAAAGGUACUCAUAUCGGUUGUAUUUUUUUUUCUAUAUUCGUUACGUUAUAACUCCGUUAGAUAUAUACCGAUUUGGAAAACUCUUUUUUUAUCGGAAAUAACAUACACUUACAGAUUGGUCCCACAUACAUUUUAUCAAAACGGAUUGAGUAGUUUAAUUUUGAAAUCAAAAUAACUGAUUUUGCUACAAUUGAAGUUAUUUUUUUUUUUGUGAAACACAAUUUAAAAUUUUCGUCGUAAUAUAAUGUUUUAAACAUAAUUAUUUAUAUAGUUCAGUUACUUUUUAAUUCGCACGUAACCAUUGACAAUAAUGUUUUUAUAUAAGUUGUAAAAUGAAACAAAAAAAACAAUAGAACGGCGUUUUAAGAAAACCAAGGACUAAAUCUAGAAGUCCAUAAUUAGUGUACAUUUUAAAAUUUGUUAAUCCCAGUGCAAUAUAAAUCAAAGAUAUAUAUAUUGUCUCUAUUUAAACAGUUAUCUACACCAAACUAACAAUACCAACUGUGUUAAUAGACUAACAUGAAAUAUACUUUAAUAAUAAAAUCAAUACCAAAACUGUGUCUUGCCUUCUUUGUAUUAUAAUUAUUAUUUUAAUCGCGUAGUUUUUAAAUGUAUGUUAAUUUUAUUAUAAUGUACUACUUUACGGUACGUAUUUUAAAUCAGACUGUUUGUAUUGCAUAAUUUAAUUACUUUAAUAUACACAAAAUUAUUAAUAUCACGUCAUCACAGUAAGACGUCAAUGAAAUAAAUGUUAGUUGAAGAAAUCUGUAUGUUUAAAUAAACAUGUUAAUUAACAUACUGUGUGUAUGCUUAAUAAAAUUUAUUGAUUGUUGAA